AUUUUAACCCUGAGCUACACAUAUUCUCCUUUAUUGGUAAAACGAUACCCAACAUGCCAGAGUCUAAAAUCGGAAUCUAUAGAAAUGUUUCUCCAUACUGGCAAUUUUAAGAUGUGUGGAGUCAGAACUCUACGCGUUUGCCUUAAGCAUUGUGUUGUUUUCUAUUCCAUGCUUUAUUUGUUUUGCAAUUCCCACUCCUUAAUCCUGUUGUGAUUCCCUUGGUUCCCCCAAGUGGUUUUGGACCUUUGGCCACAGAUGCCUCCAUUGGUUCCCACAGGACUGUGUGCUCUGUCUAUGGUAUUAAAACUUUAUAAACACAUGAAAGGGAAGCUGGUAUGUUGCAAAGCAGCACACUAGCUUCCAGCAUUAUCUGGACCCAUCAGACAGUCUUUCCCCACUGCUGAGUGAACUGCUUUCCCCCCAUGCUUGAAUUGACCAAAAGCAAUAAAGGCAGUCAUCAUUUAGCAGCCACAAUUAGGACAGACAACUCUGUUAUUUAGCAAAAUGGUAGCUAAGUGAAAAAUUAUGUGACUAUGACUGUACUUAUGGUUUUACUUUCGGAGCUUUCCUUUACAAUGUCAGAAGACCCCAAACAGCUGGGGGAUGACAAAGUAACUUGUCUCACAAGAAACCAGAUCACUGCUGAAAGAACAAUGAACAGGUGUUGUAACUGUGGCAAUGAAGACAUGGAGUUUUCAGGAAUGGAUCCCAUUGCCUGUCCUUCCCCUGCAAGCCCAACCAGGGCCUAUAUUGCAGUGCUGCAGCCAUUCUUGCCCUUUUUAAUCCCUCUGCAAAUGCUGCUGCAUGCCAAUAAAUGUUUAAGAUGACUCAAGGAUGGAUAAGUGAGCCCUUCAAUGCAACAUUGGGGAAAGACUCUGAGUGAGGAUUCUGCUCCCUGGAAGAAUGUCAUGGGGGCCAGUUCAGCUACAAAAGAUAUUCUCAGUCAUCCAAGUCAUGGUUGUCCCAAAGGUGC